rnacentral:rRNA from 1 species
CCCUACGGGACGCAGCAGUGAGGAAUAUUGGUCAAUGGCCGCAGGGCUGAACCAGCCAAGUCGCGUGAGGGAUGACGGUCCUAUGGAUUGUAAACCUCUUUUGUCAGGGAGCAAAGGGCGCCACGUGUGGCGUUUUGCGAGUACCUGAAGAAAAAGCAUCGGCUAACUCCGUGCCAGCAGCCGCGGUGAUACGGAGGAUGCGAGCGUUAUCCGGAUUUAUUGGGUUUAAAGGGUGCGCAGGCGGGCUAUCAAGUCAGCGGUAAAAUCGAGGGGCUCAACUCCAUCCAGCCGUUGAAACUGAUGAU